rnacentral:rRNA from 1 species
GACGAACGCUGGCGGCGUGCUUAACACAUGCAAGUCGAACGGAAAGGCCUCUUUCGGGGGGUACUCGAGUGGCGAACGGGUGAGUAACACGUGAGUAACCUGCCCUUGACUUUGGGAUAACUUCAGGAAACUGGGGCUAAUACCGGAUAGGAGCUCCUGCUGCAUGGUGGGGGUUGGAAAGUUUCGGCGGUUGGGGAUGGACUCGCGGCUUAUCAGCUUGUUGGUGGGGUAGUGGCUUACCAAGGCUUUGACGGGUAGCCGGCCUGGGAGGGUGACCGGCCACAUUGGGACUGGGAUACGGCCCAGACUCCUACGGGAGGCAGCAGUGGGGAAUAUUGCACAAUGGGUGGAAGCCUGAUGCAGCAACGCCGUGUGCGGGAUGACGGCCUUCGGGUUGUAAACCGCUUUCGCUCAUGACGAAGCUUUGUGUGACGGUAGUGGGUAAAGAAGCACCGGCUAACUACGUG